GCCCUGGACCCAACCAAGCGCCCCGCGGAGGGGUGCGGCCACUUGGGGGCAGGAGAAAGCGGAGUAAGCCAUCCCUCUGGGGACCCAGGAAGCGAGGCGAGCCUCAGGCGGACGCGGUGGUGUGGACCACGGCGAUCAGGGCCUUUCCCCCUGCUGUGGAGACCGAGGUGCGAGGGGACGCCGGCGGCUCCCCACCUUCUGGCCGAGUGGCCCUCUCCGCCGCCGGCUGGACUCCCUCGGGGCUCUCCCUCCAGAGCCGAGUAGGGCUGGCCGGGGGCGGCUGUUUGGCCUGAGCGUGGUCUUACUAAAGCGGAACGCCGGAGGGGAGGCCACCCCGAGAGGAGGCGGUCCCCGGCGGAGGAGGCUUCGUGAAUCCCGCAGCCACCUGCCCGCCCGCCACUCGGGACGCCGCGCCUCGUGGGUUUCACGCUGGAUGGAGGGGGCGCCGCCGAGUUGGCCCAGCCUCCCCCGCUAACUCUACCUCUCCAGUUCCUCAGGCUUUCUCUGACUUUGCUGACCCAAUGACGCCUGGCCACGGGUGGCAAAAACGCCCUCACUGAGCCCUUCGCUAAAGGAGUGCGGGGGUUUAUGUGUCUGGCUUUGAAAAUGGGAUGAGGAGACAAGGAAACAGGACCUGAGAAAGGACACUAUCCAAAAUCUGAUGCUCUCAGAAGUCAACUUUAAAACUGCCCUGCUCUUUUCAUCCAAAGAUGAAUAUAUGAAGCCAGCUGUUACUGGUUGAAAGUGUGCCUCUUGUUUGCAUGGCAAAGAAAUUCAGUUUUGUGUUCAUUUACAGCUGAAGCUCUCUUGAAAUACUUGCCUCAGUCACAGCUUUUACAUUUUGGGAACCAUGCCAUUAGAACUGAAUAUUAGGAACUGUGAUCUUUUGUCUUUUCACAAUUGAUAAUACAUUCAGAACUUAUUUCUGAUAAAGCUGGGCAGUUUCUAAGGAUACUGUACUUAUGAUUUCAAGUCAUAACUCCAUUAUGGAAAAGAGAACAAGAAAUAUGUUUCAAUGACUGCCUUUUAAAUUAGUGGUACCCCAGCACUUUGGGAGGCCGAGGUGACAGGAUCGUUUGAGGCCAGGAGUUCAAGAAAGUCUGGGCAUCAUAGCUAGACCUUGUUUCUACUAAAAAUAAAAAAUAAAUAAAUUUUCUGGGCAUGGUGGCCCAUGCGUGUAGCCCCAGCUACUCAGGAGGCUGAGGUGGGAGGAUGGCUUGGGCCUAGGAGGUUGAGGCCACAGUGAACUAUGAUUACACCAUGGAACUCUAGCCUGGGUGACAGAGUGAGACCCUGUAUGAAAAAGAAAAAAAAAAAAUGUAGUUGUACUUAAUGUACUAAAAUUAAAAAUUGGAUAACAAUAGUUGAGGACAGUGUAGGCAUUUAAAGGUAGCGGAUUGCACUUUUUUUCUCAUGUUUGUCUUUUAUGUGCAUGAGAAUGAGUGCAUAUUGAAUACUACUUGGUAAGGUCUUAAUUUGAUACCUACUGAGAUAAUCCAGCAUUUCAUGUGUAAAGAUAAAUUAGAUAAAUGAAUAAUAUAUCACUAUCUUGGAAAACAGUUCCUAAAUCUGAUUUAUUUUCAGGUUUCAUGAAUCAAAAUCUAACAGAUAAACAACAACAUAUUGGUAGGCUGUGAAACAUUGCUGCAAAUAUAAUUAGGUAAAACAAAGAGCAAAAUAUUUUGAACAGUUUAAAAAAAAAGUGUGUUUAAUAGUGGGCUUAUUGUCCAGAAUUAAUAUUGUAGGAAAAUUCACUAUGUGAAUAUUUUCUGAAUCAUAGUGAUGAUAUUAACAGUAUAUAUAUCACAUUAAACAGAGACUCUUAGUUAAAAUAUUCUGUAAACUAAGUAUUUUAAACUCUUAAAAUCAAUUAUAUAAACUCCUGUAACAUCAUCGAAUUCUGAAAGGACUGAUUUGGAAAGUAAUACAUAAUCUAGUAAAGAUGGAAGGGGAGCUGAGAAAGGAUGUGUUGUUUUAGAUAUUUCUUAUCACAGAAAACGUUUUUCUGUGCUUAUUACAAUAAAGAAUGCAACUGUGUGGGUAAUAA